rnacentral:rRNA from 1 species
GAUGAACGCUGGCGGCGUGCCUAAUACAUGCAAGUCGAGCGAAUGGAUUAAGAGCUUGCUCUUAUGAAGUUAGCGGCGGACGGGUGAGUAACACGUGGGUAACCUGCCCAUAAGACUGGGAUAACUCCGGGAAACCGGGGCUAAUACCGGAUAAUAUUUUGAACUGCAUGGUUCAAAAUUGAGAGGCGGCUUCGGCUGUCACUUAUGGAUGGACCCGCGUCGCAUUAGCUAGCUGGGGGGGUAACGGCUCACAAAGGCAACGAUGCGUAGCCGACCUGAGAGGGUGAUCGGCCACACUGGGACUGAGACACGGCCCAGACUCCUACGGGAGGCAGCAGUAGGGAAUCUUCCGCAAUGGACGAAAGUCUGACGGAGCAACGCCGCGUGAGUGAUGAAGGCUUUCGGGUCGUAAAACUCUGUUGUUAGGGAAGAACAAGUGCUAGUUGAAUAAGCUGGCACCUUGACGGUACCUAACCAGAAAGCCACGGCUAACUACGUGCCAGCCGCCGCAGUAA